rnacentral:lncRNA from 1 species
GUUGGUAGGUAUGGUACGAAGAUAUCGCUGAUGUCGAGUAGUCGUACAGGUCAUCCGGCCUUUAUAGAUCAUCCACUCGAAGCCCUUGAUCAGAUCUUCUUUCUCGGGAGUGCUAGCUUGCAUCGAAGAUUCUUGAUGGCUGAUCCAAGCUCCUUUCUUUGGAUCUCUUGGACUUCUUCGAAUCAGAAGAUGAAGAUUUACGAGGAGGUGGUGAUGUGG